UACGUAGGUGACAAGCGUUGUCCGGAUUUACUGGGCGUAAAGAGCGUGUAGGCGGUCCGGUAAGUCAGCUGUGAAAGUCAAGGGCUCAACCCUUGAAUGCCGGUUGAUACUGUCGGGCUAGAGUCCGGAAGAGGCGAGUGGAAUUCCCGGUGUAGCGGUGAAAUGCGCAGAUAUCGGGAGGAACACCAAUGGCGAAGGCAGCUCGCUGGGACGGUACUGACGCUGAGACGCGAAAGCGUGGGGAGCAAACAGG
rnacentral:rRNA from 1 species